rnacentral:rRNA from 1 species
UACGUAGGGUGCAAGCGUUGUCCGGAAUUAUUGGGCGUAAAGGGCUCGUAGGCGGUUUGUCGCGUCGGGAGUGAAAACCCAGGGCUUAACCCUGGGCUGGCUUCCGAUACGGGCAGACUAGAGGUAUGCAGGGGAGAACGGAAUUCCUGGUGUAGCGGUGAAAUGCGCAGAUAUCAGGAGGAACACCGGUGGCGAAGGCGGUUCUCUGGGCAUUACCUGACGCUGAGGAGCGAAAGUGUGGGGAACGAACAGG